GAGGGGGGAAAGGACCCAAUACAUAGAAAAUACCAAUUUGAUUUCCUGUUUCUUUUUAACCAUCUGUAUAUGUAAGGCACAAUCAGCCUUUUGACUUCUCACAGAGCUUCUGGAAUGAAAACAAAUGGACAUGAUGAGACAUGGAAAGAAAAUAAUAUAUGUGCACUGACCUAACUUGUUUCGGUUGGAAAGCAGAGUGGCUGUGCAGUGAAGGACAUGUGGUAAGGCA